AAAGUCGUAACAAGGUCUCCGUUGGUGAACCAGCGGAGGGAUCAUUACAGGACGUCAUACUCCCGUAAUACCACUGUGAAUCUUACCUACCGUCGUUGCCUCGGCGGGCGCCUCUCCGCUUGCGGGGAGGGCCCACGUCCGCCGGCGGCCCGCAUACUCUUGUCUUUUUUUAUAGCAUCUCCGAGUAUUAUACAAACGAGUUAAAACUUUCAACAACGGAUCUCUUGGUUCUG
rnacentral:misc_RNA from 1 species